rnacentral:rRNA from 1 species
UUUCGCAAUGCCCGAAAGGGUGACAAUGCGACGCCGCGUGAGCGAUGAAGGCCUUCGGGUUGUAAAGCUCUGUCAGCAGGGAUGAAUACAUAACUGGUAAUAUCGGUUACGUUUGACGGUACCUGCAGAGGAAGCCACGGCUAACUCUGUGCCAGCAGCCGCGGUAAUACAGAGGUGGCAAGCGUUGUUCGGAAUUAUUGGGCGUAAAGAGCACGUAGGUGGGUUUGUAAGUCAGAUGUGAAAGCCUCCUGUUCAACGGGAGAAUUGCAUCUGAAACUGCGAAUCUUGAGUGUAGGAGGGGAGAAUGGAACUUCUGGUGGAGCGGUGAAAUGCGUAGAUAUCAGAAGGAACGCCGGCGGCGAAAGCGAUUCUCUGGCCUAUUACUGACACUCAGUGUGCGAAAGCUAGGGGAGCAAACGGGAUUAGAUACCCCGGUAGUCCUAGCCGUAAACGAUGGGCACUAAGUAGAGGGGUUUUA